rnacentral:rRNA from 1 species
UACGUAGGGUGCGAGCGUUGUCCGGAAUUAUUGGGCGUAAAGGGCUCGUAGGCGGUUUGUCGCGUCGGGAGUGAAAACACACAGCUUAACUGUGUGCUGGCUUCCGAUACGGGCAGACUAGAGGUAUGCAGGGGAGAACGGAAUUCCUGGUGUAGCGGUGAAAUGCGCAGAGAUCGGGAGGAACACCCGUAGCGAAGGCGGCACUCUGGGCCGAUACUGACACUGAGGAGCGAAAGCGUGGGGAGCGAACAGG